GAAGUAAUUGAUGGCGCCAGAGAAGGUAAUUAGAAGACGACAAUUUAAUUGUCAACAUAUGAAGAAUGGUGUUCAAGGGGAGGGUACCUUCGGUUGCUUUUACAGCGGCAGCCAUGGGAGAGAAGAAAGAAGAAGGCGAUUAGGGUUAGGGAGGAUCGGUUUAGGCUGAUACCAUGUAGAGUUUAAUAAUUUUACCACACACUUGUGGACUCUCAUUCAUUGAAUAUAUAUAGGAUACAAAUACAAGUUAUAAU
rnacentral:lncRNA from 1 species